rnacentral:rRNA from 1 species
GAUGAACGCUGGCGGCGUGCCUAAUACAUGCAAGUCGAGCGAACAGAUAAGGAGCUUGCUCCUUUGACGUUAGCGGCGGACGGGUGAGUAACACGUGGGUAACCUACCUAUAAGACUGGGAUAACUUCGGGAAACCGGAGCUAAUACCGGAUAACAUUUGGAACCGCAUGGUUCUAAAGUGAAAGAUGGUUUUGCUAUCACUUAUAGAUGGACCCGCGCCGUAUUAGCUAGUUGGUAAGGUAACGGCUUACCAAGGCAACGAUACGUAGCCGACCUGAGAGGGUGAUCGGCCACACUGGAACUGAGACACGGUCCAGACUCCUACGGGAGGCAGCAGUAGGGAAUCUUCCGCAAUGGGCGAAAGCCUGACGGAGCAACGCCGCGUGAGUGAUGAAGGGUUUCGGCUCGUAAAACUCUGUUAUUAGGGAAGAACAAACGUGUAAGUAACUGUGCACAUCUUGACGGUACCUAAUCAGAAAGCCACGGCUAACUACGUG